CGAUCUCUUGACACGUCACCGAUCCGCGUGAAUUCGUCUUUCAACGGCCGAGAUCACGGUUGCAGAGAUACUGGUAGAACGAGAACGAAGAAGCUAGCUCCUCUCUGUCCCUUCUCUUUCCCUAUUCCCUGUUUUCCAAUUUCUGAAUUUGAUUUCUUUUGCUAGAAAAUAAUAAAAAGAUUUGUCGGGAAAGUUUCGUGAGCUAACGAAGAUGAAGGUGAUGGAGGAUGAGAUGGAAUUCGAAGAAGAAAAGGAACUUAAGGGUUUGUACGAAGAAGUUGGUGAAGAUGGGGUCGAGGAUGGUGUAGAAGAAGGCCGUGAGGAAGAGGACGGUGAGGACGAUGAAGACGACGAAGAUGAUGAAGACGAGGACGAGGAGGAAGAGGAUGAUGACGAUGACGAUGACGGUGACGUGCAGGAGGUCGUACCUUCGUCUGGUGGUCCUCCAGUUCAUUCAGUAGAUGAUGACGAGGACGACGACGAAGAUGAAGACGACGACGACGAAGACGGCGAUGACGAUGACGACGAUGGUGAUGACGAUGACGACGAUGAUGAGGAAGACGAUGACGAGGAGGAGGAUGGUCAAGAGAAGGGGGAUCUGGGAACAGACUACCUUGUCAGGCCAGUUGGCCGUGCUGAGGAUGAGGAAGAUGCCAGUGAUUUUGAACCACAGGAGAAUGGCGAGGAGGAAGAUGUUGACGAGGAGGAUGAAGAUGAAGAUGAUGGUGACGCCAGUGGGAAGGUCGAUGUUCCGGCAAAGAGGAAAAGGCCAGAUAAAGAUGACUCAGAUGGUGAUGAUGAUGGUGGAGAAGAUGACGAGAGACCACCCAAGCGAUAGUUAGGGUAGGGCCUCUCCUUGGGUUGAGGACUGACCAUUGAAACCAUAGAUGGGAUUUUUGCUGAAAUGAUUAUCGGUCCAGGUGCCGUUGAGAAACGACGUGGGAUUGAUAUAGACGGACGAUCUAAAGGAAAGCCGUAUUCUAUUUGGAGAAUAAUAAUGAUACGAUAACAAUGCGUUACCGACGAAAUAACAGCUCUCUAAAAAUAUGGGGCAGUCCUGAUUGGGCACCUUGUCCCAUUGCAUCCUUGGACGAUUAAGCCCAAACGAAGAAAACCUCCACGAUCAGAAAUCUAAUUGUCCUCCACUUUGCUCUACUUCGUCUUUUUGCAUCGCCGCCAGAAAAACCUCCAUGACCAGAAAUCUCAAAGUCAAUUUCACCACCACCACCAGCUCAAUCUGGCGCCAACCGUCUGUUGCUUUCACGAAUUUCGCACCACCGUCUCCCCUCGCAUCCCUCUCACAUGUCUCGCACGACUUCCCCUUCACACAGUUUUGACCUCGUCGUCCUGUCUCGCACAGUUGCUGAAUCUUGCUCUACCCCUUCACAUUGAUUUCUACCUCCACUAGUCCGUUGCCCACCAUCCCAGUCGCCAACUAAUUAUGAUGAAAGGAACUACUUCUAAGUUGAGAGUGUUUCUAGAGAAAUCAAUUUCAAUGAAUAUUAUCGAGUGGGGGUUGCGAUGCACUCCAUGAUAGGUGUGGUGAGAAGCCUACAUGUCAGUUUACUAUUGACGGGCUGUUAAAUAGGUAAAAACGGAUGGACCGGUUCUAAAAUAUUCUCUAUAAUUAUUAUUUAAGAUUUUUAACUUGUGGGGUUGUGAGUUUGAUCCUAUUAUUGCUUUUUUAUUCGUAGUGGCAAAAUUUUGUGCCCGUGUGGUUGUAUUGGAUUGGCCACCAAUGCUCACAC